rnacentral:lncRNA from 1 species
UUGAAAUAGUUGAUUGUUUAGAUGCACAAGCUAUUGAAAGCUUAUAUGAAAAAUUAAGUUGACACUAUGGAGAAUACAAUAGACAAUUUAGUUAACGCUUUGAAACCUUCAUCAAGUUCCUCAAGAAAGUUUUUCAUGGUAAAAUGGUAGUUCAGUGGUCUAUUCAGGCAGCACGUAGAAAACAAAUAAAAACUCGACUAUUCUGAAAUUAGAGCUGAGAUUUCUAUACCAAUAAUAUUGAUAUCAAUCAAUAAUGGUUUAGUUAACUAUAAUCAACUGUUGUAUUUUUUGUU